GUCGAACGGCAGCACGGAGCUUGCUCUGGUGGCGAGUGGCGAACGGGUGAGUAAUAUAUCGGAACGAACCCUAGAGUGGGGGAUAACGUAGCGAAAGUUACGCUAAUACCGCAUACGAUCUAAGGAUGAAAGUGGGGGAUCGCAAGACCUCAUGCUCGUGGAGCGGCCGAUAUCUGAUUAGCUAGUUGGUAGGGUAAAAGCCUACCAAGGCAUCGAUCAGUAGUUGGUCUGAGAGGACGACCAGCCACACUGGAACUGAGACACGGUCCAGACUCCUACGGGAGGCAGCAGUGGGGAAUUUUGGACAAUGGGCGAAAGCCUGAUCCAGCAAUGCCGCGUGAGUGAAGAAGGCCUUCGGGUUGUAAAGCUCUUUUGUCAGGGAAGAAACGGUGAGAGCUAAUAUCUCUUGCUAAUGACGGUACCUGAAGAAUAAGCACCGGCUAACUACGUGCCAGCAGCCGCGGUAAUACGUAGGGUGCAAGCGUUAAUCGGAAUUACUGGGCGUAAAGCGUGCGCAGGCGGUUUUGUAAGUCCGAUGUGAAAUCCCCGGGCUCAACCUGGGAAUUGCAUUGGAGACUGCAAGGCUAGAAUCUGGCAGAGGGGGGUAGAAUUCCACGUGUAGCAGUGAAAUGCGUAGAUAUGUGGAGGAACACCGAUGGCGAAGGCAGCCCCUGGGUCAAGAUUGACGCUCAUGCACGAAAGCGUGGGGAGCAAACAGGAUUAGAUACCCUGGUAGUCCACGCCCUAAACGAUGUCUACUAGUUGUCGGGUCUUAAUUGACUUGGUAACGCAGCUAACGCGUGAAGUAGACCGCCUGGGGAGUACGGUCGCAAGAUUAAAACUCAAAGGAAUUGAC
rnacentral:rRNA from 1 species